rnacentral:rRNA from 1 species
GAUGAACGCUAGCGGCAGGCUUAACACAUGCAAGUCGAGGGGUAUUUAUCUUCGGAUAGAGAGACCGGCGCACGGGUGCGUAACGCGUAUGCAAUCUACCUUUUACAGAGGGAUAGCCCAGAGAAAUUUGGAUUAAUACCUCAUAGUAUAUAGACUCGGCAUCGAGAUUAUAUUAAAGUCACAACGGUAAAAGAUGAGCAUGCGUCCCAUUAGCUAGUUGGUAAGGUAACGGCUUACCAAGGCUACGAUGGGUAGGGGUCCUGAGAGGGAGAUCCCCCACACGGGUACUGAGACACGGACCAGACUCCUACGGGAGGCAGCAGUGAGGAAUAUUGGACAAUGGGCGCAAGCCUGAUCCAGCCAUGCCGCGUGCAGGAUGACGGUCCUAUGGAUUGUAAACUGCUUUUAUACGAGAAGAAACACUGCUACGUGUAGCAGCUUGACGGUAUCGUAAGAAUAAGGAUCGGCUAACUCCGUG